AAAAAUGCUCAUGGAACGGUGCCUCUUGAACCUCACGAGUCUCCCUGCUCUCAAACUCCAAGAGAACAUCAACCAGUCGUUGAAACGGUAGUGGUUCAGAAGAGAACGACAGAAGAGUAAGAACUACUUCAAACUCCGACGGCAAACCAGCGAGUACGAUCUCAACCUUCUUCAUUUCAAAAAUCCGGGAGCCGACCGCAUCUAUCAAGGCGUAGGUGUUCUAAAUCUUGGCAAUGUAUUCCUUGAUCGACAUCACAUCCUUCUUGAUCGAGUGAAGAUCAUGGCGAAUUCUGGAGAGUUUGGCACCUGAAACAACAGUAAAAAGGCGAGUUGCAGUGGUCCAGAGAUCAUUUGCCAUUUUGGCAUCUGUGAAGCUAGACAAAAUAGAAGAGCAAAUAGUGGAAAGAAGCCAAGUGGUAAGCAACUUAUCCUGUUGAAUAUAAGCCAACGCCUCCAGAUUUGCCAUCAGAGAACCAUCCGGCGACUGCACGAACCUCGGCAAGCAGUGUCGUGGUGGGGAAAAGACUGAACCAGCGGAGUUGUGUUGAAUGUUGAGGAGCAGGGAGGAGCCGUAGUUGAAUCAGUGGAAGCAGAGGUGGCCAUGAGAGCACAAGAUAACAUGUCUCCAAGAAUUAGGCAACUAAUACCAUGCUAAAAUAUCUAGGUAUUGAAUGAACUUCAAAAAUUUAACUAAUGAAUAGAAUUGAUUUUCUUGAUUUCUUUGUACAAUUACAAGCACUAUAUAUACAAGUGUUGAAGGAGUUAACUGCUGUUAACAA